UACGAAGGGGGCUAGCGUUGCUCGGAAUCACUGGGCGUAAAGGGCGCGUAGGCGGCCAUGCAAGUCAGGGGUGAAAGCCUGUGGCUCAACCACAGAAUUGCCUUUGAUACUGUUUGGCUAGAGACCGGAAGAGGUAAGUGGAACUGCGAGUGUAGAGGUGAAAUUCGUAGAUAUUCGCAAGAACACCAGUGGCGAAGGCGGCUUACUGGUCCGGUUCUGACGCUGAGGCGCGAAAGCGUGGGGAGCAAACAGG
rnacentral:rRNA from 1 species